rnacentral:sRNA from 1 species
GCUGGGUGUAAUGGCGCAUGCCUGUAAUCCCAGCAGCUCAGGAGGCUGAGGCAGGAGGAUCAUAAGUUCAAUGCCAGCCUCAGCAGCUAGACGCCAAACAACUCAGUGAGACCUUGUCUCAA